rnacentral:rRNA from 1 species
AGUCGAGCGGACAGAUGGGAGCUUGCUCCCUGAUGUUAGCGGCGGACGGGUGAGUAACACGUGGGUAACCUGCCUGUAAGACUGGGAUAACUCCGGGAAACCGGGGCUAAUACCGGAUGGUUGUCUGGACCGCAUGGUUCAGACAUAAAAGGUGGCUUCGGCUACCACUUACAGAUGGACCCGCGGCGCAUUAGCUAGUUGGUGAGGUAACGGCUCACCAAGGCGACGAUGCGUAGCCGACCUGAGAGGGUGAUCGGCCACACUGGGACUGAGACACGGCCCAGACUCCUACGGGAGGCAGCAGUAGGGAAUCUUCCGCAAUGGACGAAAGUCUGACGGAGCAACGCCGCGUGAGUGAUGAAGGUUUUCGGAUCGUAAAGCUCUGUUGUUAGGGAAGAACAAGUGCCGUUCAAAUAGGGCGGCACCUUGACGGUACCUAACCAGAAAGCCACGGCUAACUACGUGCCAGCAGCCGCGGUAAUACGUAGGUGGCAAGCGUUGUCCGGAAUUAUUGGGCGUAAAGGGCUCGCAGGCGGUUUCUUAAGUCUGAUGUGAAAGCCCCCGGCUCAACCGGGGAGGGUCAUUGGAAACUGGGGAACUUGAGUGCAGAAGAGGAGAGUGGAAUUCCACGUGUAGCGGUGAAAUGCGUAGAGAUGUGGAGGAACACCAGUGGCGAAGGCGACUCUCUGGUCUGUAACUGACGCUGAGGAGCGAAAGCGUGGGGAGCGAACAGGAUUAGAUACCCUGGUAGUCCACGCCGUAAACGAUGAGUGCUAAGUGUUAGGGGGUUUCCGCCCCUUAGUGCUGCAGCUAACGCAUUAAGCACUCCGCCUGGGGAGUACGGUCGCAAGACUGAAACUCAAAGGAAUUGACGGGGGCCCGCACAAGCGGUGGAGCAUGUGGUUUAAUUCGAAGCAACGCGAAGAACCUUACCAGGUCUUGACAUCCUCUGACAAUCCUAGAGAUAGGACGUCCCCUUCGGGGGCAGAGUGACAGGUGGUGCAUGGUUGUCGUCAGCUCGUGUCGUGAGAUGUUGGGUUAAGUCCCGCAACGAGCGCAACCCUUGAUCUUAGUUGCCAGCAUUCAGUUGGGCACUCUAAGGUGACUGCCGGUGACAAACCGGAGGAAGGUGGGGAUGACGUCAAAUCAUCAUGCCCCUUAUGACCUGGGCUACACACGUGCUACAAUGGACAGAACAAAGGGCAGCGAAACCGCGAGGUUAAGCCAAUCCCACAAAUCUGUUCUCAGUUCGGAUCGCAGUCUGCAACUCGACUGCGUGAAGCUGGAAUCGCUAGUAAUC